rnacentral:piRNA from 1 species
UAGUAAGCCGCAUGAGUCAUGGACCU